CACUGUGGUAUUUGUCAUGAUAUGUGUAUAUUGAAGCCAAUCCAACAACCACUGGAAUUACCACUGUUGAGCACCUUUCUAAAAACAACUCACACAGUGCAGAUCAAACACUCCCCACCCCUGGAGAUGCUGAAUUCAAUCCUAUCUACAUGGCUGGCGUAGUAGUGCCCAUUAUUCUCAUCGCUGUCGUCAUCAUACUACUUAGAAGGAGAUCAGCCGGGACCAAAGCGCCUCAAACUGUGAUAUCCCAAAGGUAACCUUUUAGAUCUUGUUGUGUGUUUUGAUAAUUAUCAUUUGAUAAUGAUAAUUUAUUUUCAUUGGGAUGGGUCUCUAAAGCUAUGACUAAGAGCAGAUAUCUUUGUGUGAUUUUUUCUCUCAACUCUUUUCCUCACUAUCCCUCCUCAUUACUGUCUCCUCUCCUCACUAUCCCUCCUCAUUACUGUCUCCUCUCCUCACCAUCCCUCCUCAUUACUGUCUCCUCAUUAUCCCCCUCAUUACUGUCUCCUCACUAUCCCUCCUCAUUACUGUCUCCUCACUAUCCCUCCUCAUUACUGUCUC